GCAUCACCUUGCCAAGGUGAGGGUCGCGAGUUCGAAUCUCGUCGUCCGCU
rnacentral:tRNA from 1 species